rnacentral:rRNA from 1 species
UGCCAGCAGCCGCGGUAAUACGGAGGAUCCAAGCGUUAUCCGGAAUUAUUGGGUUUAAAGGGUCCACAGGCGGUCAAUUAAGUCAGAGGUGAAAGCCCAUCGCUCAACGAUGGAACUGCCUUUGAUACUGGUUGACUUGAGUUAUACGGAAGUAGAUAGAAUAAGUAGUGUAGCGGUGAAAUGCAUAGAUAUUACUUAGAAUACCGAUUGCGAAGGCAGUCUACUACGUAUAUACUGACGCUCAGACACGAAGGCUAGGGGAGCGAAAGGGAUUAGAUA